rnacentral:rRNA from 1 species
UACGUAGGGCGCAAGCGUUGUCCGGAAUUAUUGGGCGUAAAGAGCUCGUAGGCGGCUUGUCACGUCGGGUGUGAAAGCCCGGGGCUUAACCCCGGGUCUGCAUUCGAUACGGGCAGCUAGAGUGUGGUAGGGGAGAUCGGAAUUCCUGGUGUAGCGGUGAAAUGCGCAGAUAUCAGGAGGAACACCGGUGGCGAAGGCGGAUCUCUGGGCCAUUACUGACGCUGAGGAGCGAAAGCGUGGGGAGCGAACAGGAUUAG